GAUGAACGCUAGCUACAGGCUUAACACAUGCAAGUCGAGGGGAAACGACAUCGAAAGCUUGCUUUUGAUGGGCGUCGACCGGCGCACGGGUGAGUAACGCGUAUCCAACCUGCCCACUACUUGGGGAUAACCUUGCGAAAGUAAGACUAAUACCCAAUGACGUCUCUAGAAGGCAUCUUUCAGCUAUUAAAGAUUCAUCACUUGGAGAUGGGUGUGCGUAUGAUUAGGUAGUUGGCGGGGUAACGGCCCACCAAGCCUACGAUCAUUAACUGGUGUGAGAGCACGACCAGUCACACGGGCACUGAGACACGGGCCCGACUCCUACGGGAGGCAGCAGUAAGGAAUAUUGGUCAAUGGACGCAAGUCUGAACCAACCAUGCCGCGUGGAGGAUGAAGGCCCUCUGGGUUGUAAACUUCUUUUAUCUGGGGCGAAACUCCUCUAUUCUUAGAGGCCUGACGGUACCAGAUGAAUAAGCACCGGCUAACUCCGUGCCAGCCGCCGCGGUAA
rnacentral:rRNA from 1 species